CCUCCCUUUUGGUUUCAGGUUUUGCGGCCUUUUGGGGGAGGUGGGUACUGUCACGCCCUGACCAUAGAGAGCCAUUGUUUCUCUAUGGUGAAGUGGUUCAGGGUGUGACUGGGGGGUGAUGUAGUUUAUUUAUUUCUGUGUGGGGUUCUAGGUUUUAUUUUCUAUGUUGGAGAUUUGCAUUAUUCCCAAUUAGAGGCAGCUGUUAAUUGUUGUCUCUAAUUGGGGAUCAUACUUAAGUAGCAUUUUUUCCAUGUAGGUUAUGGGGUAUUAUUUUGAGUUUGUGCCUGUUGCACCUCUGUCGUAGCGGUUUGUUUGUGUAUAGUUUAUUGUUUGUCUUGCUAAGUUUCACAUAAUAAUAAUAAUAAUAAAGAUGUGGAACGAUACUCAAGCUGCGCCUUGGUCCGUUUCUACAAAACGCUCGUGACACGUUCAAAUCCUUUUGCUGCAGGAUUAUUUCGCUGCAACCAUACUGGAUAAUUAAGAUCUUACAUCUGUACAUCUACAGUAUAUGUUUAAUUUGUAAUAUUAGACAAUGUGCAAAAUGUUUCCUCUUUUAGGAACUUGACCAUAAUAUGUGUUUUAUUUACAGGGCAAGAAGAGCCUGUUAACCCAAAGGUUUUUGAGAUUGUAGGAAAAACCGUUGGGUUGCUUUUCCUUUUCAGCCUGAUCGUAUUCUUUGCAUGGAGGAGGAGAACAUCUAGACUCCCCAGUGGGUUUGACAUGACAGACCGUUCACAGGGACAGAACUCCCCAGUUGGGACAGUAUGCUCCAACCAGGCCAGGGUCAGGAGUGGGAACCAGGAACCACCCCAUAUCAACCUUGAUGGGCUUUAUGCCAACGGGAAUUAAGUGUUUUAUGUACAGUAUAUCAUUGUGUAUCUGUUUUCUGUUGGUGCGUUUGUUACAUUUAUAAUUGUGUGCUCUUUGAUUAUCUGCAUUUUUGGACCUUUAUUUUGGACCAUUUAUUUUGAAUGUUGCGUUCAGAGCAUCCGUUUAAUGGGUUCCAGUAUAAAGGAACUGCUGAGUUCAACUAGCCUACUGAAGGCAGUAAGACCUGAAAAUGACUGUCUAGGAAUGAUCAACAACCAACUUGAUAGAUCUUGAUGAAUUUUUUAAAAGAAUUAUGUGCAAAUAUUGUACAAUCCAGGCGUGCAAAGCUCUUAGACUUACCCUGAAAGACUCACAGCUGUAACAUACAUUGACUCAGGGGUGUGAAUACUUAUGUAAAUGAGAUUUCUGUAUUUAAUUUUCAAUAAAUCUGCAAACAUUUCUAAACAUAUUUUCACUUUGCUAUUAUGGGUUAUUUUGUGUAAAUGGAUGACAAACAAAUCUAUUUAAUUUUUUUAUUCAGGCAUUAACACAACAAAAUGUGGAAUAAG
rnacentral:lncRNA from 8 species